rnacentral:rRNA from 1 species
GAUGAACGCUGGCGGCGUGCCUAAUACAUGCAAGUCGAGCGGACAGACGAGGAGCUUGCUCCUCUGACGUUAGCGGCGGACGGGUGAAUAACACGUGGAUAACCUACCUAUAAGACUGGGAUAACUUCGGGAAACCGGAGAUAAUACCAGAUAAUAUCUUGAACCGCAGGGGGGGAUAGUGAAAGACGGUUGUGCUGUCACUUAUCGAUGGAUACGCGCCGGAUUAGCUAGUUGGUAAGGUAACAGCUUACCAAGGCUACGAUGCGUGGCCGAGCGCUGUGGGGGAUAGGCCACACUGGAACUUAGACACGCUCCAGACUCCUACGGGAGGCAGCAGUAUGGAAUCGUCGGCAGUGGGCGAAAGCCUUACGGAGCAACGCCGCGUGAGUUAUGAAGGCCUUCCGAUCGUAAAACUCUGUUAUGAGUUAAGAACAAAUGUGUAAGUAACUAUGCACUUCUUGACGGUACCUAAUCAGAAAGCCACGGCUAACUACGUG